GGGAAAAAAGGAAGGUCAGGUCAGGUCAGUCGCUCGGUCAUUUUUUUUUUUACGUUAACGCCUAUAACACCAGUAGGCUUAGGGUCAUCCUCGUAAAACAUAUCAAACACACGCCAAUGAUAUGUUUUUGUUUACGAGCGUUUUUUUUUUUUUGGCGAAUGGAAUUACAGUAAAUAACAUGAAAGUCCCGGCCAUGGAUUCUUGCAGGUGUGUUUUGGGUUGGCGGAUGGCCGGCUUACAGUGUGUCCAUGCCUCCCUCUCUACCUGAUUCACCUCAUAAUAAUAAUAAUAAUAGUAAUAAUAAUAAUAAUAGUAAUAAUAAUAAUAAUAAUGUUCCCUAUCUCCACAGCCAACCACCAUCACUUAACCCCACGACUACGGAUUUCCUAGCAGCAGACCUCCCCAAGCUACAGGAGUGGAGCAAAAAGUGGCUGGUACAGUUCAGUGAGGAAAAAUGUAAAGUCCUGCACCUUGGGAGGGGAUAUCCAGCACACCAAUACCACAUGGGAAACACUCCACUAUCCACCACAGAGGCAGAGUGUGAAUGGUACCAGGCUACCCCGUCACGGCCAAUGUCUGGGCGGCAAAACGCAAAAAGGAUAAACCAUUGGAGGGAGGCGAGGUUAGGGAGACAUCACGGACCAACUAGCGGAAGUGACUAUUUCUCCGUAUUUCUCCUAUUUCCACUAUGGCAGAAUGGCUCCCCGCUUGCCUGUAGCUUAACAAUAUCACUGCCAACCAUUACAUCCUCUAAACACCCCGUCAAGGCCAAUGUCUGGGCGGCAAAACACAAAAAGGAUAAACCAUUGGAGGGGAGGCGAGGUUAGGGGAGGCAGACCAGUGGCUAUUUCUCCAUAUUUCUCCUAUUUCCACUAUGGCAAGAUGGCUCCCCGUAUGCCUGUAGCUUAACAAUAUCACUGCCAACCAUUACAUCCUCUAAACACCCCGUCAAGGCCAAUGUCUGGGCGGCAAAACGCAAAAAGGAUAAACCAUUGGAGGGGAGGCGAGGUUAGGGGAGGCAGACCAGCGGCUAUUUCUCCGUAUUUCUCCUAUUUCCACUAUGGCAGAAUGGCUCCCCGCGUGCCUGUAGCUUAAUAAUAUACCAAGCAGCCAUUAUAUCCUCUAAACACCCCGUCACGGCCAAUGUCUGGGCAGCAAAACGCAAAAAAGAUAAGCCAUUGGAGGGGAGGAGAGGUUAGGGGAGGCAGACCAAUGGCUAUUUCUCCUAUUUCCACUAUGGCAGAAUGGCUCCCCGUAUGCCUGUAGCUUAACAAUAUAACAAGCAGCCAUUAUAUCCU